GGAAGAUUUGAUGGACAUGUACUUAAGCCUCCUAAGGCCCAGAACUAUCUUCUCAGUUGCGAGCUAAAGGGUGACAAAGGUUGUCACUUUCAGAUGGAUAAUGAUACAAAUGAGCGCCAGUUAUCUUUAAGAACCACCAGUUCAGGAGCUGGUGCAAAGGAUGAAUUGCACGUUGUUGAAGCAGAGAUAAUGAAUAAUGAAGGCAGUCCAAUUAAGGUAACACUGGCAACUUUGAAAACAUCUGUAUAGCCAACAGUUUCCCUUUGGGGCUUUGAAAUAACACCACCCAUGUUCUUACCAUUGAAAUAUGUUUCAGGGCCGGUGCAUAUGAGUGGACAACACUUAGGAGCUGUGCAGGAAGCUGCAGAGUCAGAAGACAAAGAGGAUGAGGAUGGGAAACUCUUAAGUAUAUCUGGAAAUUGAUCUGCCCCUGCAGGUGGUAGCAAGCUUCCACAGAAAAAAGUAAAAAGUGCUGCUGACAAAGGAUGGUGAUGAUGAAGAAGGUGAUAAUGACGAUGAUUUUGCUGAAGAGGAAACUGAAGAAAAAUCUUCAGGGAAGAAAACUACAGGAGGUAUUUCAACCCAAAAUACAAAACAACAAAAUCAGAGUGGAAAAGACUCAAAACCAUCAACACAAGAUUAAAAGGUCAAGAAUCCUUCAAAGCACGAGAAAAAACUUUUAAAACACCAAAAGGACCUAGCUCUGUAGAAGACAUUAAAGCAAAAAUGCAAGCAAGAAUAGAUAAAGGUGGUUUUCUUCCCAAAGUGGAGGCCAUGUUCAUCAAUUUUGUGAAGAAUUGCUUCCGGGUGACUGACUAGGAGGCUAUUCCAGAUCUCUGGCAGUGGAGGAAGCCUC
rnacentral:lncRNA from 10 species